rnacentral:rRNA from 1 species
UGCGGAGGGUGCAAGCGUUAUCCGGAUUUACUGGGUUUAAAGGGUGCGCAGGCGGAUAUGUAAGUCAGUGGUGAAAUCUCUAGGCUUAACCUGGAAAUUGCCGUUGAUACUAUAUAUCUUGAAUGCUGUGGAGGUAAGCGGAAUAUGUCAUGUAGCGGUGAAAUGCUUAGAUAUGACAUAGAACACCUAUUGCGAAGGCAGCUUACUACGCAGAUAUUGACGCUCAUGCACGAAAGCGUGGGGAUCAAACAGG